rnacentral:misc_RNA from 1 species
UGUGCCACAAGCCUCUUUAAUAAAAUGUGGGCAUGUUGGUCCAAAAAGUUUAACAGAUACGGUGCUUUAUUUUGGUCAAAAAGCUCAGCACCUUUCACAUAAUAAUUUAGCACUUAAAAAACUCUGCUAGACAUAUAUAAUAGCUUCCGGCUGGUUCUCCAUGACCUUAAUAGAGAUAAGUAGAUUAAUUCUGAGAAAGCUCUUUACUUCGUUUAGCUGCAGCAACAACUGCAUUCAUCAAGAUACCGCGAAAUCCAGACUUCUCCAACUCGUGAAUUCCAGCAAUGGUUGUACCCCCAGGUGAUGCAACAUCAUCUUUAUGUUGACCAGGAUGCUUGCUCAUACCGGAGACCAUUGAUGCUGCUCCUAGUACGGUUUGAGAGGCUAGUCCAAGUGCAAGCUCCCUCGGUAAACCAGCAGCCACCCCUCCAUCAGCCAAUGCCUCUAUUGCUAGAAAAACAUAGGCUGGUCCACUACCACUUAAACCUGUAACUGCAUCAAACAGCUUCUCAUCAGCUUUCCACACCUUACCAAUAGCUCCAAAUAACUGGGAAAUUAACUCUCCAUCUUCGGUUGUUGCCUUUUCCCCCAAAGUGAUGACAGUGGCGGCUUCACCAACAGCAGAGGGAGUGUUUGGCAUCACCCUAAUAAAUCGGCCUUGACCUGCCCAUUCCUGCAAAUCCUUUAACUUAAUACCAGCAGCAACUGACACCAAAAGCUUCUUCUCUGAAAGGAUUGGCUUCAACUCUGACACCACAUUUUUAACCACUUGAGGCUUCACAGAGAAUAUAAUCACAUCACUAUCUUCAACCACCUGACUAUUAUUAUCUAAAACAGUAACCCCAAUAGACUCAAAAGCAGUACGACGAGCUGAUCCAGAAUGGGCUGUUCGAAUACGAGAAGCAGGCAAUAUCCCAGACUUAACCACACCUCUAGCUAUACUUUCAGCCAUUUUACCAGCUCCUAUAAAGCCCAGCUUGUAUGAAUCGGUUGGAAUUGGACAAACAUUCGCCAUUUGGAAAUUAUGUAACAGUAAAGAUACAACUUUUCUUCUGAAAUCAGUGAAGGCGGCAAGACGAAGAGUAGCUGAUGUGUUUUAAUGCAUCACUCUUCUUCUUAUUUAAGCGACUGUUUAGGGCCUUAAUAC